ACCAGCAAUGUGUGAAGAUACAUAUUACCUCUUAAUCCUCACAAUAGACUUAAGAGUUAAGUUGUUAUCCUAAUUUUUUAAGUGGGGAAACUGACUCACAGAGAGAUUCAGUACCUUUUCCAAAAAUUGCAGAGCUAAGAAGUGACAGAAUCGGGAUUUAAAAUCUGGCGGUGUGGCUCUACAAUCUGCUUUGAACUUUAACAUAAUAUGUACAAAGCCUGAAGCAAAUUCUCAGUACUGUAUUUAAGAGGGCAUAGCAAUUAAGAAGAAAAAGAGCAAAGAUAAGAAGAGAAAAAGAGAAGAUGAAGAAACCCAGCUUGAUAUGUUGAGGAACGCAGCUGCUCACCAGCAACGGAACAAAGCUGGACGGAGAAUGACUUUGAAGAGCUGAGAGAAGGCUUCAGACGAUCAAAUUACUCUGAGCUACGGGAGGACA
rnacentral:lncRNA from 1 species